rfam:Populus trichocarpa isolate Nisqually-1 chromosome 16, whole genome shotgun sequence.
UAAACUGUCUAGAAUAGAUUAUCAUUUAAUCAUGAUAGAUCCAUACCUGAGUCAACUUAGGAUUACCUAUUAUUUCGAGCCUAAUUAUAUCAUAUGCACAACGAAACCAACACUAAAAAAACAUUAAUCACUAU